rnacentral:rRNA from 1 species
AUUGAACGCUGGCGGCAUGCUUUACACAUGCAAGUCGAACGGUAACGCGGGGGCGAACCCUGGCGACGAGUGGCGAACGGGUGAGUAAUACAUCGGAACAUGUCCUGGAGUGGGGGAGUAGCUCGGCGAAAGCCGGAUUAAUACCGCAUACGCUCUGAGGAGGAAAGCGGGGGACCGUUCGGGCCUCGCGCUGCAGGAGUGGCCGAUGUCGGAUUAGCUAGUUGGUGGGGUAAAGGCCCACCAAGGCGACGAUCCGUAGCUGGUCUGAGAGGAUGAUCAGCCACACUGGGACUGAGACACGGCCCAGACUCCUACGGGAGGCAGCAGUGGGGAAUUUUGGACAAUGGGGGCAACCCUGAUCCAGCCAUGCCGCGUGAGUGAAGAAGGCCUU